GUGAAUAAAACUUUGGAAUAUUGGAAUUUGGAAUAUAUCUUGUAGAGAAGCAGCAGCAGCUCCUCCAGCAGUGCUGUACUGCGCAUGCGCACUGUGUCCGCUGCCUGGGCAACUGGGCAUUAGUCGUGGGAGAAUUUAGGUCUCGGUGUGUCUCUCUGUCAUGGACGGCUCGACCCCUGAGUUUGACAUGUAUGGGGCGAUGGAUUGGAAGGACGGCGUGGGAACCCUCCCUGGCAGCCAGCUCAAGUUUCGUGUAAACGAAUUCGGGGUGCUGGAGGUCAUAACAGACGUGGGAGAAGAGGAAGGGGUCAAGAAGGCUCAUGCUACCACCACAUGGAGUGUCCCUACAGCACAGGAGGCUCUGUCGGUUGAGGUGCACUGUGGUCGUGUGAGUGUCUGCAGUAACAGGAAGGACUCUGCUACCCACUUCCUGCCUGAUGGACAUCACUGCACCAACGGCUGCCUCCACCCAGAGCAACAGGAAAAGAGUAAGUCUGUGAAAGAAGAUUCCAGGAUGAACGGUGAGGUCACUCGGGUCAGCAGGAGGAGACCACACCCAGCCAAGAGAGCGGAGGAAGAGCUAGACGAAAUGACGGAGGUGGUGGAGGAGGACAAUGAAGACAACGAAGAGAAAGAUGGCCGCCGGCUGGUUCGAGGAGGUCCCCGGGGUCGCAGGAAGCGCCGGGGAGACGCAGCUUUGCUCAGACAGCCGGUUUCGUACGGAGGGAGGAAGAAAUCAUGGUGCUGGGCUUCGUAUCUGGAGCAGGAGAAAGCCCUCGCCGCUCCCAGCAAACUGUUUAAAGAGCACCAGUCCUUCCCUCAGAGUAAGAGCGGGUUCAGAGUGGGUAUGAGGCUGGAGGGCAUCGACCCCCUACACCCCUCCAUGUACUGCGUUCUCUCCGUCGCCGAGGUAUCCGGGUACCGAAUGCGACUGCACUUCGAUGGUUACUCGGACUGCUAUGACUUCUGGGUGAACUGUGACUCUACUGAUACUCACCCUGUGGGCUGGUGUGAGAAAACCGGCCACAAGCUGCAUCCGCCUAAAGGGAUGAAGAGUGAGGCGUUCAGCUGGUGUUCGUAUCUAAAGACGAAUAAACUGCAGGCGGCACCCAAAUCUCUGUUCCACAACCACAACGCUACAGUCACACCUUUAGGCUUCAGGGUGGGGAUGAAGCUGGAGGCGGUGGAUAAGAAGAAGCCUUCACUGGUUCGCGUCUCCACCGUUAGGGACAUGGUGGAAAGCCGCCUGCUCGUGCACUUCGACAGCUGGGACGAGAGCUACGACUACUGGUGUGAUGUGAUGAGUCCGUAUAUCCAUCCAGUUGGCUGGUGUCGGGAGAACAGCAGAACCCUGACCACGCCUCCAGGUUACGCUGAUGCUGAGAACUUCUCCUGGGAGAGGUACCUGGAGGAGACGAGCUCAUUUCCCGCACCUGCCAGGUCCUUCAAAGCGAAGCCUCCUCACAGUUUCCAGGUGAACAUGAAGCUGGAGGCGGUGGACGUGAGGAACCCUGUGAUGGUGAGGGUGGCUACAGUGGUGGAUCGAGACGAGCACAGAGUGAAGAUCCAUUUCGAUGGUUGGACGGAAGAGUACGAUUACUGGCUGGACGCAGACAGCCCGGACAUCCAUCCCGCGGGGUGGUGCGCCAAAACCGGACACGCCCUACAGCCGCCAAUCAGUCUGGAGGACACGAGUGAAUCAGAGCAAGGCGGAUGUCCUACACCCGGCUGCAGAGGGAUUGGACACAUCAAAGGAGCCCGCUAUUCUGGACACCACAGUGCCAUGGGCUGUCCGUACUCCGAGAUCAACAUGAAGAAGGACUCGGUCUUGCCGGACCGGCUGAGUGGGGAGAUGCCGGGUUCUGGAGUGGGCCGACCACGUCGGGUGGAGCAGAGCCCUGAUAGGGCUGCACACAGUCUCGAAAGGAGUCAGGAGUCACACACUGAUCUGUCACCUCCGUUCCUCGCUUUCUCAGCAAACCUGUCCGUCACCUGGACAAGGCCGACACGGCAACCAUCGCCAUGGAAACGACGCAUCAGAAGCCGGUCGGUACGGAGUCCAAACGAAGGCUCCGCUAGUGUCCGAGCCUGGUGUGGUGUAAUGCUGGAUAUCUCCGCAGGCGACGAGCCGUGCCGCUCGGACGUAUCCGAUACCCUGGAAACAGAGAUCGGAUUAUAGUUCUGACGCCUCGGGCAUCUCCAGAGCUCUUUAUCACAGAUUGGUUUGUAAUUCCAGUUGGUGUCCAGUAGACCUCGCAGAACUCUGUGAAUCACAGCUCGGUUCGUAAUGCCUGCUGGUGUGUGUGACUCACAGCUUUCCCGAUAAGGCCUCGUGGUAUCUGGCUGGCGGUACGAUCGGGACGAUUCGCAGUCUGACGGUGGGGGAGGAAAAACAGACCCAGCAUGAUUUGUGCACUUACUCACGUUGAUUUCUCACGCAUUAUUCUCAGCUCGGGCAGCAGUGUUCGGUCCGGGGCCACUCUUUGAAAGUUUGAUUAAACAACACACUUAACGACACAAACAAUACGGCGUGCUGGAUCGAGCGCUGUUUUACUUUAUUUAGCCUUUUUACCUUUAGUUUUUUUUUUUAAACCGUCUCGUACUUUCAUGUUACGACGUUAUUGUAUGUUUGACAGCAAUUUAAAAAAAACCCCAAACGUUAUUUUCCCUUCUUGAUAUUUUUUGGGGUGUUCAAAGACGAGUGCUUGUGGUCUAGAAGCUGUUGAAAAACCCCGUCUCGGACACACCUGGACUCGGGAAAACUUCUGGUAGCUUCGGCGGCGUGAACUACACCUACAUUUGAAUGUGGAGUUGAGCAGCCGCGUAACCCGACUCUGAAUACGGGGAACUUUCCCCACGUAAAUAUUCACGUAGCUUUAGGAUGUUUAAGUUGCUGAGUCUGCGCCUGAGGUGUCCCUAAAGUCUGAAUACGGAGUUGUACUGUCUGUACAUUAUAUAUGGGGGAUAUAUAGAGUUUAUGUUUGAUUCCCAUUGUGUGCAUUACUCCACGCAGCUCCAGUACAACGCUAAAGAAGCAAAGCAAAAGCGUUCAGGACUGACGGAGUACAUUUGCGGUAAAAGCGGAAGGAGCGCUCAUUCAACCCAAAGCAGGAACUCUUCACAGAUACGAUCUCGUUUCGACUGUAGAUGAAACAUACUGUCCUGUGGUGGAUUAGCUCUCGGGGGGGGGGCGUUUGGUUCGUCUUUAUCCUUCGUUUUCGUUUGUUCCUCCUAAAACAGGCGUAAACGCUUCAAGAAUAUUUACUUUCAGAUGCGGAUCAGUGUCCGUCACGGUGCUGGUGUUUUAUUGCGUAGCGGAAUCGAUGGAACGUAUAAAUCCCACAUGGGAAUGGUUUCUGUAGAGAAAAGCCCAGGCUUUAUCAUUAAUCACAGCUGGAAAGAACAGAUGUGGAGCGUGCGACGUGGGCUGUCGGAGAGACGAGCGUGCCGCUCAGGCUGCGUGAUUGCUUAUUUUCUUUCUUAUUUAUAACUUUUUAUUAUUAUUAUUAUUAUUAUUAUUGUUAUUAAUAUUAUUUGUAUUUUCUACUUGACACUAAUGAGGUUUCACAGGAAAUCAGCAAUGGAUUUGAUAAUGAAUUGAAAUGAGCAGGUCCUAAAUCAUGUGUAAAUACUGCACACACACACAUCUAAGCAAACGUUUGUUGUAAUAAAGCUUCCUUUUAGUUUGUUGUUGUUGUUCAGAGCGUCCACGCGUACGGAGCUCGGAGUUUGGGUUGGGCGGCCGUGUAAGGUGAAAAGAGUGGAGGAGCCGCCACAGGAAGAGGAAGUGGAGAGCGAGGAGUCGUCUAUCGCGGAGUCAAAAG